CAUCCUGCCCUGUAUUUGGGACAAAACUGAGGACUCCCCCUACCUUUAAAGUAUUGCAGACACAUCCAGAGCCCCAACCCAUCAGUGAAAGAAUGGUCAAACCAAACUGGUGUGUAAUUACAUCUGCAAGUGUAUCUAUAAAAAAAAAAACAAGAGGCUACAAAAACGAUCAAAGAAAAAGUGAAUGGGGGAUGAAGGAGGUGAAGAGAGAAAAGGAAGGAAGCUUCCUGAAGGAGCUGAGAUUUGAGCUAGGCUUUGAUGGAUUGGUAGGAAUUCAUUAUCCAGGAGAAAUGUUCUGGGGUUAUACCUCUGUAAGCUUCGGUUUCUUCUGCAAAAUCUCAUAGGAUUGUGAAGAUUGAGUGAUGUAAUGAAAAUAAAGCACAUAGCAAAGUGCUUGGCACAUGAUAAGGACUGAGUGAAUAUUUGUUGUUGUUAUUACUAUUAUGAGGAGAUAGUGUUGGAAGCAUGUGAGCAAAACCUUCAGGGUCCUUCACAGGGAAAUGAUGCUAUCACUCAUAGGUAAUUAAAACCCUUUUCCUUCUAAUCUUACCCCAUUUUUUCUGAGGCUGACUCUCAUCUUUCAUAUCUUCCAUACUUUGGUUAAUUUCAGUUCACCUCUGGCAAAAUGAAAGCAGAUUCAACCAAGAUCAAAAGAUGUUUUUAACCUGACUCGGUUUCCCAAUAUGACAUCUUAUACACUGGUUUAUAAUUUCAAUAGUGGAUGGAUAUUUGAGUGAAGGUGUAAAUAUAAACCCAAUAUCUUAUGCAAGCAUUUCUCUUGGGUUUUUGUUUUCAACACCUUAUUUUAGCAACUUCAAAAAAUAUUCACUCAGGGAAUUUUUUUCUUCUAAUCUGUGGUUUCAUUCAGGUCAUAAAGGAAAGGUGUUUCUGGGAGGAAGCAAUGAAACUUAUUUCUCCUAAAGUUUGGUAGUUAAGAUAGAAGGCUAAGUACUUUUGCAUCAUAAAUGAUCGAUACAAUGUGUUUGAGAGGGGCUUGUCCAUUGACAUUGGGGGCUGAGGAGAUUUUGGGCCCGGUGGUUGGGGAAAGCCAGGAUGUUAAUAUUAAAAGUCAUUUAAUGACCCCUUAUUAUGUGUUCAGCAGGACUAUGGUAAUUGCUCUGUCAUAGUUGAUUCUUAUUGCAACCCUCUGAUGCAGGCACAAUUAUUAUGCUUGUUCCAUAGAUGAGGAAAAUGAGGCUUAGAGUAUUUACAUGACUUGCCCAAGAUUAUAGCUCAGAUGUUGAAGAGCCAGGACUUGGACCCAGGUCUGUCUGACUCCAAAACCCAUGCUUUUUACCACCAGGUUACUCUGCCUGCAGGGGUUUGAAAAUAAUGACCCCAAACUAAACAUGAGGGUGGUGUCUUUAGGUUGUCAUACAGGUUAAGAGUUAAAAGAUGUGCUAUGGCCUAUGCUGUAAUCUCUGCUUAAGAAAACUUAGUUCUGAUUUGAAGGAGCAAAUACCUAUCAGCAGAGAUGGCCCCCACCAAAAUAUGAGCCUGUUUGUGAGCUGAGAAGAGGUGUCAGACAAGGGACAGAACCAGUAGUGUCCUGUAUCUUGAGAAAACAGAGGGGGGUGGGUAAGGCCUUUUACUUUCUCUUUCAGUUCCUAUAAUGACUCUAGAACUUUUUGCUAAUUAACUUAAUUGCCUGUAACUGAUAUAUUUAUUACCCGGCAUUGUUUAUCAAUGACAUAUUGUUCAAAUAUUCAUUUCCUAGGAGAAGGUUGUAAAUGUCUUCUGGGAUCAUAAAAGGUGAUGGAUUAACAAGUGCUGGAGGUUGUGGCAGGUCAAGAAGUUACAGUGCAGAAUUUCCUAUACCAUCGCUUGGAUGUGUUGGCUGUUCAGCGUGAAGAGAUGGUGUUUUUCAGUGAUGCUGAAGUUUAUGUGUAGAGUGGUCAGUUUUGGAUGAUCAGCAGAAACGGGAAGAAGAAAUAAGCACUGAUGAUCAGAAAUCAUUUCAGAAGAUGAAGAAACAGACCAAGAGGAUCAUUUAAAUAUUGUCAUCUUGGUUCUUUCUAUAAAAAAGUAAAAUCUGACUGUCAAGGUAUUUGGACUCUGUCUGCUCCUCUAGUCUCCCUUCCCUUGAUCUGCCCCACCCGUUCCUCUCCUCCUUCACACCUCAUGCUGGGAAAGGACCACCUGUCAGAGCAAUCCAAAGACCUGGUCUAAAGCACAGCUGGGUUUUCUUGAUAAAUUGCCCCAAGAUAUAACAGUAAUAUACCACCUCUGGAAUGGGAAUAAAAUUAUUUAGCCUUUUCAAGUCAAUUCUUCCAGCUUUUAUAAGACAGGAGUUAACUAAGAUCUGUUGGUGUCAACAAAAUAAUGAAGCAGAAAAGGUGAGUUUAAAACGGAUUUAGGGCAUAUAACAGGGGUAAUCUAUGUGUAGAAAAUCAGGAGGUGACAGUAUUUUGAAAGUUGAAUAUCCCAUGAAUGUCAAGGGACAGAACUAGAACCUUUAGUGUGGAUUCCCCCAAGAUGACUAGUAGAAGAAUUGAAGCUUUGGAAAUGUGCAAGCUAGAUAAUACUGAAAUGCCCCACUCUUUUCAGAGAUGCUGAGCUUCCGGUAACUUCAGCUCUCUGAAACACAGCACUAAGACCGAGAGUAAGUGAAAGGAACUUUCCGAGGCUGCAGAGAGUUGUCAGCAAGCCCAUGCACUUGAUUGCUUAGCUUCUUGCUCAGACCACUAGUAACUCUUUUUUAAGGGAUGGAUGUUACCCAGCCAUGGUGUCUAUUUUCCCCAGCCCACUGUUGAUUCAAACCAUGGGAAAGGAGCUAGAGGAGGGUGAGAGAGGAAUGACAGUGGAGAACUAAAUAUCAAGGAAAGAGCUUGGAAAUCCAAAAAGGAGUCUUUGAAAUGUGUUACCAUAGAGACCAAUAAUAAGCCUUCUUAAUAAAGACCUAAGUAAUCAGCAAAGCAUUAAAUUGUGUUUUGUAUCAUCUGAUUAAAGAGAUAGGAGAGUGAAUCGUUCGAGGUAGGCUAAUUCUGGUAAUAAAACUCCCAACAUUUCAGUGGCUUAUUUCUCACUUACAUUGAAGUCUAAGGCAGGUCAACAUAUAGUCAUUUGGGUACCCAGGCUCCUUCCAUCUUGGGGUUCCACCACCCCAUAGAGCUUCUGUGUUCAGCCAGCAGGGCAGAGAAGGGAGUGUCUGGGGGAAUGGGGAGGAGUUUUUACGGGCCAGUCCUGGAGGCACACAUCCCUUUGCCCAUAUUCCAUUGGCUGGCACUCGGUUACAUGGCUGCACCUAACUGUAAAGGAGGCUGGCUGUAGGAGACAGAUGGAGACAGUUUGGUGAACAACUAACUAGCCAGUUUCUUGAGGAAAAGUAUAAAAUAUGCUUUAAAACAAUGAGAGGCUUCAGAAAACUGCUCUUGGUUGGACGAACUUUAGUUAUAUGGAAAAUCACCUAUGUAGACGUUUACAUUUCCUGGCAAUACCAGUUAAAGGGAAUAGUUAUGUCCUGAGCCACACUAUAGAUCAGAGGCUCGCAAACUAUGGCCCAUGGGCCAAAUCACACCCAUUGCCUGUUUUCGUAAAUAAAGCUUUAUUGCAACACAGCCACGUCCAUUCAUUUAUGCCUUACCUAUGGCUGCUUUUGAGCUACAACAGCAGAGUGGAGUAGUUGCAACAGAUACUGCACGGCCCACA